GUUCAACAUCCCAGAGCAAAGGUCCAGAUGCACUCUCAUAAUGGGGAUACAAGAACAAGUGAGACAAAUCCUGCCCUCCAGGGGCAGCCAUUUGUGGGGUGUGGGGAUACAAAUCAAUCAACUUACAACCAUCUAUUAGGUGUCUAUCAUGUGCAGACACUGUUCUGGGCACAAAGAUAAAAAUGACAUAGGCCCUGCCCUCAAAGAGCUUAUGCUGGAGUUGGGCCAGGGGGGCUACCACACAUGCAGAUUAAGGAAAAACAAUUUGGUUCUGUUCUAUUUUUCUGGACUGAGCCUCGGUUAUACAUGUUGUAUUCUCUCAGCAAAAGGUCAUCUUCGUAAGGGUACGGGCUGUUUCUUCCUUGUCUUUGGAUCUCUGGUACCUAGCACAACGCUUUAAUUCAACAAGCAUUUAUUAAGCAUCUGCUAGGUGGCAGGUAGUGCACAUGGUUGAGAAGGAGGGCAUGGGACCCGUCAUUCUGCCCCACAUCUUCCCAUGAACCCAUGCUCAUUGAUCCUCAGCUCUCUGAGCACUCCCUCCCGACCUCCCACACUACCAGCUGCAUUAGCAGACCCAAGAAUACAACAGGCUUUCGACAAAAUCUACCCCCACACUCAGGUCCUUCCUCUCUCUUUCGAGCACCAUGGAGACCCUGGCUCCAGGCUACAGAAAUUUGCUUUGGCUGCGGUAGACAGCUAUGUGACUGUAGUCUCUCAGGAGCCCAGGGAGGUUGAGGAACUUAGAGUCAUAGCAUCGAGAAUUAAAGAAAACCUCAGAGGUCAUCUGGUACAAUCUCCUCAUUUUACAGAUGAGGAAACAGAGUCCCGAGGAGGUUAGGUGAUGAUUAAUAUGUAUAUAGCCCUAUUAUGUGCCAGGCACUGGAGAGCUCUGAACUACAGCAAUCCUGUACAGCAGAAGAGCAGGAUUGGUGCAGACAAUCCUGUAGCAACGGUGCUGGGAAGCACUGAAUUGCCAUUUCUGGGUCAAAGAACUAAUAAACAGAGAGAAAGGUAUAGGGUACUCGGACAGUGUCCUGUGGGGCAGUGGAGGGGAAGAGUGUUCAGCCCUCCUCUGAACCUGAGGAAGAGAACAAAGCAUCCAGUGGGAGGCCAGUUCUGACCACCUAAGUCACCUGAGGCAGACAUAUAGUCUGGUGACCUGUGAAUUUCUCAGUAUUGGAAGGCUGAGAUGCUUUGAGAUCCAGCUCCUAAGGAAAUCACAAUCAGACAAGAGGGGGUCAAAAAGUGCAUGAUAGUGAAAAUAAGGGGGAAGGGGAGGACUGAAAUUACUAAAGAUUUCAGGAAGAAAAAAACUCAAAAAUGUUGAAUAUAAACUGAUAAGUCAACAGGAAAAACAAUAACAGCUGAAGGAAAUAUGGCCUCCAGAUCUAGUAAAUGAGUACAAACAUCUGUGAAUAACUAUUGUGAAACGAAGGAAAAUGAUCCAACACUUGGUGAGACAGAAGAUUCUGUGGAAUUUGAGGACAACAUGGAACUUACUGUUCCUCAGUGGUACAAAAGAGAAAUGAGAAUUACAAGAGCAGAAUUUAUGGCCUGCACAGCAAGAAUGAUGGACAGAACAGAAAAAUUCGAAUUUGUGAAAGCAAUCUCACCAAAGAAACAAAAGAGAGAACAACAGACUGGGAGUGCAAAUACCCCAAAAUGAAGUUUAGAAGAGAAGCAAAAUGAUAACAGUAAAAGUAAAUAUGCUUAAUCUGUAAGCAAAACAUACUGAUCUUGAAGAAAGGUUGUUUGGAGAUAACUUAAGGACAAUAGAUCUCCCAGAAGCUUGUGACAAGACAAAAACUUUAACAAAGUAAUGAAGGAAAUCAGAAGAAUUCAAUUCAGAAACAAUAAAGUCUGCAAGUGUUCAGGAGAAAGACUUUCAAAUACAAAGGAAAGGGCAUUUGAAUAAUGUAAGACUAUUUUGCACUCACUAGACAAGGGAGGUGGGAAUGGAAUAAUGUGUUUGCUCCAAAGAGCAAAGGAUCUAAGGACACAACCCAGGGCGACCUCUCUUUCAAAUCUGAGCUUAACUAUACAGGCAAGAAGAUGGAUGUUCAAUAACAACAAAGAAAUUGAAACUUUUUUUAGCAAGAAAAACAGAACUGAAGAGGCUAUUUGAUUCUCAACACUUUAAACAGCAGAAAUGCAGGCAUUGUAAAUAAAUUCAAUGAGCAAGGACAACCAUAGCAACAGAGUGAGAGCAGAGACCAUUAAGAGACUGCUUUUUAAAUAUACACAAUGAGACAGAGGUGAAACAGGACAUGGAAGUUACAGAAUUGAAAUCAACCUCUACAACUUCUUCUAGUUUUGCCCUGGGCUAAGAAGAAUAAAUUCAAUCCCUCUUCCAAAUGAUAGACUCUCAAGUUCUUAAAGUCAGUAAUCAUGGCCAACUUAAGUCUCCUCUUCUCUUCUGAAGAAGGAAAGUAAUUGGAUUACAUCAAGGGAAACGACAAAUUUAAGGAAUUCAGAGAAGCAGAGGAAGACCUGUAUGAACUGAUGCAGAGUGAAGAAAGAAGCAGAAGAACAAAAUCCACAAUGUCCCCAGCACCAUAAACAAGCCCAACACUGGAAGGCAGCCACUAUCUGACAGUGUCAUGACCGUGUCGGCCCAGGAGAAUAGAUCAUGGAACACAUGCUCCUUCUCUUAGGGAAAAGAUAGGGGAGGGAUGAAGAUGUAGGUCAUGCAUCUCCUGACAGAUAUGAUUACCAGGAUGUCAGGUUUUGUUUAAUUCUUUCUUUUCUGUUUCAAGGGAUGAUUCAGUGGGGGUAUGGUAACACAUGUUGGGAAAGAAUUGUAAUAGAAAAACAAAAAAAAAAACAUCAAUACAACUUUUAAAAGUAAAUUAACUCUUUAACUUGGGAAAUAUACUAUUUGAACCCCCUCCCCUUUUUUGUUGGUGCAGAGUUAUCAUGAACACUUAUGAAUUUCCAUUUUUGUCAUGGUCUACUGGGCUGUGAUCCUACACUAAGCACUGGACCCUGAAUUGCACAUCACCCACUGGUCACCGUCCUUUGCCUUUUGUUUUUUUAAAGACUACAUCUCCCCAUCUCACCUGGGCUAUAAGUGCAGUAGCCACAAGGGCACUUUGACCCUCUCUGCUUCUAACCAGGUUGGGUUCACUUUUCCUUAUUAGGCAAUGUGGCGGGCCCUCACCACCCCCACCCCCCAGAAACUCCUCUCUUCUCUUUUAAUUGUCUGUUCCCAAUCUGCCGUAAUUCAAGAAAUCAAAUUUGUUGUUACUGUGUGUAAAGUAGGAGCAAAUUGACUCUGGUCGACUGAGGACCUUCUUGCUUCUUAUGAAUAAAGUGUAUGAACUUCCAUUUUUCAGAUUAGUGCCUGUAGUUUGACUGCGGGACUUUUUUUGUUUACUAUCUGAA